GACGAACGCUGGCGGCGUGCCUAAUACAUGCAAGUAGAACGCUGAAGGAGGAGCUUGCUUCUCUGGAUGAGUUGCGAACGGGUGAGUAACGCGUAGGUAACCUGCCUGGUAGCGGGGGAUAACUAUUGGAAACGAUAGCUAAUACCGCAUAACAGUAGAUAUCGCAUGAUAUCUACUUGAAGGUGCAAUUGCAUCACUACCAGAUGGACCUGCGUUGUAUUAGCUAGUUGGUGAGGUAACGGCUCACCAAGGCGACGAUACAUAGCCGACCUGAGAGGGUGAUCGGCCACACUGGGACUGAGACACGGCCCAGACUCCUACGGGAGGCAGCAGUAGGGAAUCUUCGGCAAUGGACGGAAGUCUGACCGAGCAACGCCGCGUGAGUGAAGAAGGUUUUCGGAUCGUAAAGCUCUGUUGUAAGAGAAGAACGAGUGUGAGAGUGGAAAGUUCACACUGUGACGGUAUCUUACCAGAAAGGGACGGCUAACUACGUG
rnacentral:rRNA from 1 species